rnacentral:tRNA from 1 species
GGGGAUUUAGCUCAGUGGUAGAGCGUUUGCCUAGCAAGCGCAAGGCCCUGGGUUCAGUCCCCAGUUCCA